CACCGGCGGCUCGAGUGGUGGCCACUUUUAUUGGGUCUAAAGCGUCCGUAGCCGGCUUGGCAAGUCCCCUGGGAAAUCUGGCGGCUUAACCGUCAGGCGUCCAGAGGAUACUGCCAGGCUUGGGACCGGGAGAGGUGAGAGGUACCUCAGGGGUAGGGGUGAAAUCUUGUGAUCCCUGAGGGACCACCAGUGGCGAAGGCGUCUCACUAGAACGGGUCCGACGGUCAGGGACGAAAGCUGGGGCACGAACCGG
rnacentral:rRNA from 1 species